AUUUAUAUAAUUUAAAAAAAAUAUUAUAUUUUCAAUAUAAAAUUAUCUAAUCUAGUUUAUAAAUA
rnacentral:tRNA from 1 species